GACGAACGCUGGCGGCGUGCCUAAUACAUGCAAGUCGAACGCUGAAGAGAGGAGCUUACUCUUCUUGGAUGAGUUGCGAACGGGUGAGUAACGCGUAGGUAACCUGCCUUGUAGCGGGGGAUAACUAUUGGAAACGAUAGCUAAUACCGCAUAACAAUGGAUGACACAUGUCAUUUAUUUGAAAGGGGCAAUUGCUCCACUACAAGAUGGACCUGCGUUGUAUUAGCUAGUAGGUGAGGUAAUGGCUCACCUAGGCGACGAUACAUAGCCGACCUGAGAGGGUGAUCGGCCACACUGGGACUGAGACACGGCCCAGACUCCUACGGGAGGCAGCAGUAGGGAAUCUUCGGCAAUGGGGGCAACCCUGACCGAGCAACGCCGCGGGAGUGAAGAAGGGUGUCGGAUCGUAAAGCUCUGUUGUAAGUCAAGAACGGGUGUGAGAGUGGAAAGUUCACACUGUGACGGUAGCUUACCAGAAAGGGACGGCUAACUACGUG
rnacentral:rRNA from 1 species